rnacentral:rRNA from 1 species
UACGGAGGGGGCUAGCGUUGUUCGGAAUUACUGGGCGUAAAGCGCACGUAGGCGGACUGUUAAGUCGGGGGUGAAAUCCUGGGGCUCAACCUCAGAAUUGCCUCCGAUACUGGCAGUCUCGAGUGCGGGAGAGGUGAGUGGAAUUCCCAGUGUAGAGGUGAAAUUCGUAGAUAUUGGGAAGAACACCAGUGGCGAAGGCGGCUCACUGGCCCGUAACUGACGCUGAGGUGCGAAAGCGUGGGGAGCAACA